CAGUGGGGAAUUUUGGACAAUGGACGANANUCUGAUCCAGCCAUGCCGCGUGCGGGAAGAAGGCCUUCGGGUUGUAAACCGCUUUUGUCAGGGAAGAAAUCCUUUGAGCUAAUACCUCGGGGGGAUGACGGUACCUGAAGAAUAAGCACCGGCUAACUACGUGCCAGCAGCCGCGGUAAUACGUAGGGUGCAAGCGUUAAUCGGAAUUACUGGGCGUAAAGCGUGCGCAGGCGGUUAUGUAAGACAGAGGUGAAAUCCCCGGGCUCAACCUGGGAACUGCCUUUGUGACUGCAUAGCUUGAGUGCGGCAGAGGGGGAUGGAAUUCCGCGUGUAGCAGUGAAAUGCGUAGAUAUGCGGAGGAACACCGAUGGCGAAGGCAAUCCCCUGGGCCUGCACUGACGCUCAUGCACGAAAGCGUGGGGAGCAAACAGGAUUAGAUACCCUGGUAGUCCACGCCCUAAACGAUGUCAACUGGUUGUUGGGAAGGUUCCUUCUCAGUAACGUAGCUAACGCGUGAAGUUGACCGCCUGGGGGAGUACGGCCGCAAGGUUUG
rnacentral:rRNA from 1 species